GUCCAGACUCCUACGGGAGGCAGCAGUGAGGAAUAUUGGUCAAUGGCCGAGAGGCUGAACCAGCCAAGUCGCGUGAGGGAAGACGGCCCUACGGGUUGUAAACCUCUUUUGUCGGGGAGCAAGGCGAGUCACGUGUGACUCAUUGAGAGUACCCGAAGAAAAAGCAUCGGCUAACUCCGUGCCAGCAGCCGCGGUAAUACGGAGGAUGCGAGCGUUAUCCGGAUUUAUCGGGUUUAAAGGGUGCGCAGGCGGAGGUGCAAGUCAGCGGUCAAAUUGCGGGGCUCAACCCCGUACUGCCGUUGAAACUGGCGUGCUCGAGUUGGAGAGAAGUAUGCGGAAUUCGUGGUGUAGCGGUGAAAUGCAUAGAUAUCACGAAGAACCCCGAUUGCGAAGGCAGCAUACCGGCUCCACACUGACGCUGAGGCACGAAAGCGUGGGUAUCGAACAGGAUUAGAUACCCCGGUAA
rnacentral:rRNA from 1 species